UACGAAGGGGGCUAGCGUUGUUCGGAAGCACUGGGCGUAAAGCGCACGCAGGCGGAUCGAUAAGUCGGGGGUGAAAGCCCGGGGCUCAACCUCGGAAUUGCCUUCGAUACUGUCGGUCUCGAGUCCGGGAGAGGUGAGUGGAAUUCCUAGUGUAGAGGUGAAAUUCGUAGAUAUUAGGAAGAACACCAGUGGCGAAGGCGGCUCGCUGGCCCGGUACUGACGCCCAGGUGCGAAAGCGUGGGGAGCAAACAGG
rnacentral:rRNA from 1 species